rnacentral:rRNA from 1 species
AUGUGGUAUCUCCGUAGGGGGGUUGUGCUAACAAAAGACAACCUCGCACGACGCAACUGGUCGGGAAGUACAAGUGUUGUUUUUGUACUCAUGACGGGACAAGUAAACACCUCUUUUUUUCACUGUAAGUUUGCGCGUUCUACGUGGUCAGCCAUCCAAAUAGCGUCAAAUUUAUAUCCGCCCACAAGUGUUGCCAAUAUUUUUGGUCAUUGGCUGGACGGUAUUUCAAAUAGGUACAAAACACUGAUAAGGGUGGGAGUGUAUGCCUUACUAUGGCCGCUUUGGCUAUGUAGAAAUGAUGUUGUUUUUAAUGACAAAACUAUUUCUCCUUUGCAAGUUAUUUUCCGUUGUACGCACUCGCUUCGUACGUGGUGUACGCUACAACGAGCGGAGUACCAACCGUUGUUCAAGGCGGUGUGUACGCUGUUAGAGCAGGUGGCUAUGGAGGUUUUACCCAACAUGGAUGGCAACAUAAUCUCCGGCUCGGUCCACCAUCUCUUUCGACAUAGGCAAAGUGUCGGUCUAUGGACUCUACUGUUGCCGAAUUGUCGGUCUUUUAUCUUUCUGUUUAUCAGACUACUGGUGUUUAGCUGUGUGCAUCCUAGUUAUGCAGAGGCCGGGUGA